CACAUGCAAGUCGAGGGGCGAGCAUGAGAUUAGCUUGCUAAUCUUGAUGGCGACCGGCGCACGGGUGAGUAACGCGUAUCCAACCUUCCCCCUACUCAGGCAUAGCCCGGUGAAAACCGGAUUAACUCCUGAUAGUUUCACUAGAUGGCAUCUGACGGUGAAUAAAGCUUUGCGGUAAGGGAUGGGGAUGCGUCUGAUUAGCUUGUUGGCGGGUAACGGCCCACCAAGGCGACGAUCAGUAGGGGUUCUGAGAGGAAGGUCCCCCACAUUGGAACUGAGACACGGUCCAAACUCCUACGGGAGGCAGCAGUGAGGAAUAUUGGUCAAUGGGCGCGAGCCUGAACCAGCCAAGUAGCGUGCCAGGAAGACGGCCCUAUGGGUUGUAAACUGCCUUUGUAUGGGAAUAAAGUCAGGGACGUGUCCCUGUUUGCAUGUACCACAAGAAUAAGGACCGGCUAAUUCCGUGCCAGCAGCUGC
rnacentral:rRNA from 1 species